rnacentral:rRNA from 1 species
AUACGUAGGGAGCGAGCGUUGUCCGGAAUUACUGGGUGUAAAGGGUGCGUAGGCGGGACUGCAAGUCAGAUGUGAAAUGCCGGGGCUCCACCCCGGAGCUGCAUUUGAAACUGUGGUUCUUGAGUGAGGUAGAGGUAAGCGGAAUUCCUAGUGUAGCGGUGAAAUGCGUAGAUAUUAGGAGGAACAUCGGUGGCGAAGGCGGCUUACUGGGCCUUUACUGACGCUGAGGCACGAAAGCGUGGGGAGCAAACAGGAUUAGAUACCCUGGUAGUCCACGCUGUAAACGAUGAUGACUAGGUGUGGGGGGACUGAACCCUUCCGUGCCGCAGUUAACACAAUAAGUCAUCCACCUGGGGAGUACGGCCGCAAGGUUGAAACUUAAAGGAAUUGACGGGG